UACGAAGGGGGCGAGCGUUGUUCGGAUUUACUGGGCGUAAAGGGCGCGCAGGCGGCGCAAAAAGUCAGGCGUGAAAGCCCCGGGCUCAACCUGGGAACUGCGCCUGGGACUUUUGUGCUGGAGUUCGGGAGAGGAGCGUGGAAUUCCCAGUGUAGAGGUGAAAUUCGUAGAUAUUGGGAAGAACACCGGUGGCGAAGGCGGCGCUCUGGACCGAUACUGACGCUGAGGCGCGAAAGCGUGGGGAGCAAACAGG
rnacentral:rRNA from 1 species